CCUCUUUAAGAGAUUUAACUUUGAAGCCUUUGUCCCUUUGAAUGUUAUUGUCUUCAGCUGCAAUUUGUAACUCCCAGCAUCCCCUUUCUACUGCAAAUAUGAAUUGAACCUCUACAAGACAUCAUCCCAAAAAAAUUGUGUCAUCUGGAGAACCUUAUGCAGAUUACAUCCACAGUCAACAACAGCACUGCCAUCCUGACCUGCACAUGCUGCAGACUGCACUGCCUGACAGCAGGAACUUCUUGAGAAAAUUUCAUGAUCUGAACAACUGCUACAGCUUGUUGUAGCAGUGAAGGGCUGAGGCACUAACAGAAACUCGAGUGCUUCUCUAAUUUAUAGAAG